rnacentral:rRNA from 1 species
GACGAACGCUGGCGGCGUGCUUAACACAUGCGAGUCGAACGGAAAGGCCCUGCUUUUGUGGGGUGCUCGAGUGGCGAACGGGUGAGUAACACGUGAGUAACCUGCCCUUGACUUUGGGAUAACUUCAGGAAACUGGGGCUAAUACCGGAUAGGAGCUCCUGCUGCAUGGUGGGGGUUGGAAAGUUUCGGCGGUUGGGGAUGGACUCGCGGCUUAUCAGCUUGUUGGUGGGGUAGUGGCUUACCAAGGCUUUGACGGGUAGCCGGCCUGAGAGGGUGACCGGCCACAUUGGGACUGAGAUACGGCCCAGACUCCUACGGGAGGCAGCAGUGGGGAAUAUUGCACAAUGGGCGGAAGCCUGAUGCAGCAACGCCGCGUGCGGGAUGACGGCCUUCGGGUUGUAAACCGCUUUCGCCUCUGACGAAGCGUGAGUGACGGUAAUGGGUAAAGAAGCACCGGCUAACUACGUG